rnacentral:rRNA from 1 species
GACGAACGCUGGCGGCGUGCUUAACACAUGCAAGUCGUACGGUAAGGCCCUUUCGGGGGUACACGAGUGGCGCACGGGUGAGUAACACGUGAGUAACCUGCCCACAACUUUGGGAUAACGCUAGGAAACUGGUGCUAAUACUGGAUAUGUGCUCCUGCUGCAUGGUGGGGGUUGGAAAGCUCCGGCGGUUGUGGAUGGACUCGCGGCCUAUCAGCUUGUUGGUGGGGUAGUGGCCUACCAAGGCGGCGACGGGUAGCCGGCCUGAGAGGGUGACCGGCCACAUUGGGACUGAGAUACGGCCCAGACUCCUACGGGAGGCAGCAGUGGGGAAUAUUGCACAAUGGGCGCAAGCCUGGUGCAGCAACGCCGCGUGCGGGAUGACGGCCUUCGGGUUGUAAACCGCUUUCAGCAGGGACGAAGCUUUUUGUGACGGUACCUGCAGAAGAAGCACCGGCUAACUACGUG